CCCUUAGACGUUCUGGGCCGCACGCGCGCUACACUGACACAGGCAACGAGCUUUCCUUUACCGAAAGGUAUGGGUAAUCUUUUGAAACUGUGUCGUGCUGGGGAUAGAUCCUUGCAAUUUUUGAUCUUAAACGAGGAAUUCCUAGUAAGCGCGAGUCAUCAACUCGCGUUGAUUACGUCCCUGCCCUUUGUACACACCGCCCGUCGCUACUACCGAUUGAAUGUUCCGGUGAGCUCUUCGGACUGCGCGGUCUGCAGUUUCUGCGUUCCGUGCGGAAAGUUGCGCAAACCUUAACAUUUAGAGGAAGGAGAAGUCGUAACA
rnacentral:rRNA from 1 species